AGAGUUUGAUCAUGGCUCAGAUUGAACGCUGGCGGCAGGCCUAACACAUGCAAGUCGAGCGGUAACACAGGGAGCUUGCUCCCGGGUGACGAGCGGCGGACGGGUGAGUAAUGUCUGGGAAACUGCCUGAUGGAGGGGGAUAACUACUGGAAACGGUAGCUAAUACCGCAUAAUGUCGCAAGACCAAAGAGGGGGACCUUCGGGCCUCUUGCCAUCAGAUGUGCCCAGAUGGGAUUAGCUAGUAGGUGGGGUAACGGCUCACCUAGGCGACGAUCCCUAGCUGGUCUGAGAGGAUGACCAGCCACACUGGAACUGAGACACGGUCCAGACUCCUACGGGAGGCAGCAGUGGGGAAUAUUGCACAAUGGGCGCAAGCCUGAUGCAGCCAUGCCGCGUGUAUGAAGAAGGCCUUCGGGUUGUAAAGUACUUUCAGCGGGGAGGAAGGUGAUGAGGUUAAUAACCUUGUCGAUUGACGUUACCCGCAGAAGAAGCACCGGCUAACUCCGUGCCAGCAGCCGCGGUAAUACGGAGGGUGCAAGCGUUAAUCGGAAUUACUGGGCGUAAAGCGCACGCAGGCGGUCUGUCAAGUCGGAUGUGAAAUCCCCGGGCUCAACCUGGGAACUGCAUUCGAAACUGGCAGGCUAGAGUCUUGUAGAGGGGGGUAGAAUUCCAGGUGUAGCGGUGAAAUGCGUAGAGAUCUGGAGGAAUACCGGUGGCGAAGGCGGCCCCCUGGACAAAGACUGACGCUCAGGUGCGAAAGCGUGGGGAGCAAACAGGAUUAGAUACCCUGGUAGUCCACGCCGUAAACGAUGUCGACUUGGAGGUUGUGCCCUUGAGGCGUGGCUUCCGGAGCUAACGCGUUAAGUCGACCGCCUGGGGAGUACGGCCGCAAGGUUAAAACUCAAAUGAAUUGACGGGGGCCCGCACAAGCGGUGGAGCAUGUGGUUUAAUUCGAUGCAACGCGAAGAACCUUACCUACUCUUGACAUCCAGAGAACUUUCCAGAGAUGCUUUGGUGCCUUCGGGAACUCUGAGACAGGUGCUGCAUGGCUGUCGUCAGCUCGUGUUGUGAAAUGUUGGGUUAAGUCCCGCAACGAGCGCAACCCUUAUCCUUUGUUGCCAGCGGUCCGGCCGGGAACUCAAAGGAGACUGCCAGUGAUAAACUGGAGGAAGGUGGGGAUGACGUCAAGUCAUCAUGGCCCUUACGAGUAGGGCUACACACGUGCUACAAUGGCGCAUACAAAGAGAAGCGACCUCGCGAGAGCAAGCGGACCUCAUAAAGUGCGUCGUAGUCCGGAUUGGAGUCUGCAACUCGACUCCAUGAAGUCGGAAUCGCUAGUAAUCGUAGAUCAGAAUGCUACGGUGAAUACGUUCCCGGGCCUUGUACACACCGCCCGUCACACCAUGGGAGUGGGUUGCAAAAGAAGUAGGUAGCUUAACCUUCGGGAGGGCGCUUACCACUUUGUGAUUCAUGACUGGGGUGAAGUCGUAACAAGGUAACCGUAGGGGAACCUGC
rnacentral:rRNA from 1 species